AACGAACGCUGGCGGCGUGGCUAAGGCAUGCAAGUCGAACGGGACUCUCUUGGUAGUAAUACUGUGGGAGUUCAGUGGCGGACGGGUGAGUAAUGCAUGGGUAACGUACCUUAGGCUCAGGGAUAGCGGCGCCCUUCGGGGCUUUAGCGAAAGUGCCGGUAAUACCUGAUAACAUCCAGAGGCCUCAUGGUUUCUGGAUCAAAGAUGGGGACCCUUCGGGGCCUGUCGGCCAAAGAUCGGCCCAUGUCCUAUCAGCUUGUUGGUGGGGUAACGGCCUACCAAGGCUGCGACGGGUAGCCGGCGUGAGAGCGCGACCGGCCACAUCGGGACUGAGACACUGCCCGGACACCUACGGGUGGCUGCAGCAACGAAUAUUCCGCAAUGGGCGAAAGCCUGACGGAGCGACGCCGCGUGGGGGAUGAAGUCCUUCGGGAUGUAAACUCCAAUAGUAUGCCAGGAAGCAAUCCGACCUAAUACGUCGGUGCGUUGACCAACAUACGAAAGGGGCGGCUAACUCCGUGCCAGCAGCCGCGGUAAGACGGAGGCCCCAAGCGUUGUUCGGAAUCACUGGGCUUAAAGCGCGUGUAGGCGGAGCGGUAAGUACCUUGUGAAAGCCCCGGCUUCAACCCGGGAACUGCUCGGUAUACUGUCGCUCUUGAGGCAGGCAGGGGUCACUGGAACCUUAGGUGGAGCGGUGAAAUGCGUAGAUAUCUAAGGGAACGCCUGUGGCGAAAGCGGGUGACUGGGCCUGACCUGACGCUGAGACGCGAAAGCGUAGGGAGCAAACGGGAUUAGAUACCCCGGUAGUCUACGCCGUAAACGAUGCGCACUAGGUUCGAGGGCUUCUGACAGUUUUCGUGCCGAAACAAAAGCGAUAAGUGCGCCGCCUGGGGAGUACGGCCGCAAGGCUA
rnacentral:rRNA from 1 species